rnacentral:tRNA from 1 species
GCGGUAAUAGCUCAGUUGGUAGAGCACAAGCUUCCCAAGCUUGGGGUCACGGGUUCGAACCCCGCUUACCGCUCCC